UACGUAGGGUGCAAGCGUUAAUCGGAAUUACUGGGCGUAAAGCGUGCGCAGGCGGUUUUGUAAGUCUGUCGUGAAAUCCCCGGGCUCAACCUGGGAAUUGCGAUGGAGACUGCAAGGCUAGAAUCUGGCAGAGGGGGGUAGAAUUCCACGUGUAGCAGUGAAAUGCGUAGAGAUGUGGAGGAACACCGAUGGCGAAGGCAGCCCCCUGGGCCAACACUGACGCUCAGGCACGAAAGGCGUGGGGAAUCGAAACAGG
rnacentral:rRNA from 1 species